rnacentral:lncRNA from 1 species
UCAGUACAAAUGCUUGCACUGGCUUCACCAUCACUAUGGGUUGUAAAUUGUUAAACUGCUCUUGUGCAUAGCCCACUUCCCUGGUAUCAUCAACAUCAAUAUUUGCAACAACUAAUGUGCUCUAGGUGGUAAACAACUUAUUAAAAAGCCUAUUAUUAGUAUUAGUAUUUUGUAAAAGGCAAUCACAAAAAGGCAGAAGAAGAAAAAAACCCAAAUAAAACAGCAUUUAAAAGCACUGAAAGAUUGUAGCAAUUCAAAAUGCCUGUGGAUUUUCUUUAAGAUAUUAUUUUGAAGAAAGGACUAUAAUGUGGGUGCCAGGAGAGCCAGGAGAGCCUUUUUGGGAAGGGCAUUCCACCACCAAAAAGGUCCUCUUUUUAGUAGCCACCUGUCACUCCUGAUUUGGUGAGGAAACCUGAAGAAGGGGCCUUGGAUGAGUAUAUUCCACGUAUUCUUCUGACCCCAAGCUGUUCUGGGCUUAAAAGGUUAAUGCUAGUACUUUGAAGGAAACACAGAUGGCAAAAGAACUUGUGGAAUACAAUUGUAUUAAGGGACUGGCCAGAUCCCAGUUAACACAACUGCUGCCCAGUUUCAGACCAGGACUGUUUUCAAAGGGAUUCCCCAAAAUGCUACAUUACAGAGAUCCAAGUGGGAGGUUACCAGAGUAUGGAGAAUCGUAGCAAGGUGGCAUCAGUCCAGAUGGGGCUGUAGUUGGUAUAUCAGCUGAAGCUGAUAAAAGUAGCUUGGGGCAAAUCAUGGAUGGCUGCCAGGUGACAAAACAUGGUUUAAAAGGUUUUUGUUUUUAUUUGCUUUUAGACUCAUUAUUGGCAAUGCAUGGACACCUGGAUUUAAAAUGUUUCUCUGGGUUAGUAAAUGAUUGUAGACUGCUUCUAACAUAUCAAUAAAACCAAUCCCUGCUGGAAAUGGGCCAUUUGACUAGAUUUGGUUAAAAGCCCAACUUCUUGUCCUGGUUGCUGUUCUAUUUUGCAUUGUGCCAUGCAUUGUGCUAUGCAGUGCUUUUUUUCUAAAAAAAAAUGUUUGGGGGUACUCUCAUUUUCCUACUCAUAUUGAAAUACUGCCCCUCAAUGAAGGCAAAUUUAGAUUCACAAAAUGUUUAGGGGUAUGUGUACCAUUGCAUCCCCCCCCCAAAAAAAAGCACUGGUGCUAUGCCAAAACCUAUCCUUCAGUUUCUCCAAAGUCUUCUUGCUCUGCGAAACAACCUUCAAUUUUUCUGGUACGUUGCCAGGGCACUUGAGAAUUUCCUUAGAAUUUUUGGUGGCUGGGUGAGUGGUUUUUGAGCUUACCUGAUUGUUGUCAGAUGGUCACAGGCAGCAUGAUUGGUUUUUGUUUUUUUCUUAUCCGUAAACAUUACUCCAUUAUUGCAUUCUGCAGCCUCCCUGGGUUGGCCACACUUCCUGAUUGGAAAAGGCCUCAUACAAGGAAUAAUAUAAUGAUGACUUCCCAUAGGCAUUAAAUGAUGUGAGAGUGUCUGUGAAAGCUGCAAAGUGGAGGCCAAUAGAGAGAUGAUUUUCAGAAUGAAAGAAAGGAUACUCAGAAAUAUCCCCUUGGCCAACUCACCAGUAGACAUGACACAAACCCUGCACCCCACCCAUGAGAAUUUCCCUGAAAUUUUCUCUCUUCUGUUCAAUAGUUUUCAAAAGCAAUUUAUUUUCUCAUUCACUGAUGGAGAGUGGUCCAAAAAAGACAAGGGAAGCAUGUUCAUCUCAGCACUAGUUCAGAACGAGAAGGCUCUCUCCUUCUCUCUCUAACCUCUCUGCUUCCUCUAAUAACUAGAAAUCUUCUGCAAACAAUGUAGUUCAGAACCUCAAGGUUGACCUGCCAUGUCUCAAAAUUGAUCGUUAGUUCAGGCACAGCAGGAAGCUUCUUACUGACAACAAACAGGAACGAUUUUGCCACGUUGCUUGAGGUACACUUGGCAGAGCUGUGUGGGCAGAUGUUUUCUUGUUUAACCUGGUGCCGAGUGCUUUGUCUUACACCCAACAUGCCUGCGGCACAAUGGGUUGGUAUGGUUCUGACAACCGGCUUGAUGCAAUUCUAUCUAUCGAGUAGGGAUGGAGGAGGAAAUCAUUUUUGUUUGCAUUUUAGUGAGAAACUGUUUAAUGCACAUCUCAAACCACCACACAGACCAAAACACUGCUGUCCUUCAAAAUUCACACUUCUUGAAUUUUUGUAGUGCAGUUCUCCAGCUGCAAAGAAUAUGCACAAAAAUAACAUACAAGAAAGCAUUAUAUCAGGGCCAGCUGCUUAAAAAAUGUAGGUGCUUAACAGAACUGCAUACAAAAAUAUGUUUGGUUGGAAAAAUUUGCACUAAAAUGCCGACAGAUUUAGGCAUGUAAGGGGCUCAGUUAAGUAUUUGUACUCUCCCUCAGUGACAUGUGAUAUGUAUGACUGCUAAUAUUCCCUCAAUUGAGAAUUUUUUUGGCACUUAUUCAUAUGCUUUGGGGGAAAGGUGAAAUACUGUCCAGAAGUCUUUGUUGGUUCUUGUAGAAGGAGGGGAGAUACUUAUUGCCAAGGCAACCAACCUAUCAACCCAACAACUGUGAAGAUGAGCUGCACUCCCCAUUUAAUUCCAUAUUUUAGGCUCAUCAGUAAAGGUAAAGGUAAAGGUACCCCUGCCCGUACGGGCCAGUCGUGACCGACUCUGGGGUUGCGUGCCCAUCUCGCUUAAGAGGCCAGGGGCCAGCGCUGUCCGGAGACACUUCCAGGUCACAUGGCCAGCGUGACGAAGCUGCUCUGGCGAGCCUGCACCAGCGCAGCGCACGGAAACGCCGUUUACCUUCCCGCUAUAAAGUGGUACCUAUUUAUCUACUUGCACUUAAGGGUGCUUUCGAACUGCUAGGUGGGCAGGAGCUGGGACCGAACGACGGGAGCACACCCCGUCGCGGGGAUUCAAACCGCCGACCAUACGAUCGGCAAGUCCUAGGCACUGAGGUUUUACCCACAGCGCCACCCGCGUCCCUUAGGCUCAUCAGUACUAUACAUUUAAAGCAGUAUCAUACUACUUCAAACAGUCAUGGCUUCUUCCAAGGUCAAUCAGGGGUGGGGAACCUUUUUCAGUCUGACGGACACAUUCCCAUCUGGGCAACCUUCUAAGGACCACAUGCCAGUUGGGGGGGUGGGCAAAAGUGGGAGGAGCAACAAAUGUAAUUUUUACCUUUGUACAGUAGGCUAGUUUUUACAAUCAGAG